UACAGAGGGGGCAAGCGUUAUUCGGAAUUAUUGGGCGUAAAGGGCGCGUAGGCGGCCUGACAAGUGGAAGGUGAAAUCCCUCGGCUUAACCGAGGAACUGCCCUCCAAACUGUUUGGCUUGAGACCGGGAGAGGUGAGUGGAAUUCCCAGUGUAGCGGUGAAAUGCGUAGAUAUCAGGAGGAACACCUGCGGUGUAGACGGCUUACUGGACGGUAACUGACGCUGAGGCACGAAAGCGUGGGUAGCAAACAGG
rnacentral:rRNA from 1 species